rnacentral:lncRNA from 10 species
AGAGAGCCUCGGCUAGGUGUGGAAACAGGAAGAGAACUAGAACUGGAAGUAAAGCAUUGAAGAUGUGACUGAAUUGCUGCAAUCUCAUGAUCAAAUUUGAAUGGAUGAGGAGUUGCUUUUUAGGGAUGAGCAAAGAAAGUGGUUUCUCGAGAUGGAAUCUACUGGUGAAGUUGCUGUGAACAUUGUUAAAAUGCCAAUAAAGGAUUUAGGAAUUACAGAAACCUGGUUGAUAAAGCAGUGCCAGGGUGUGAGAGAGUUGACUUCAAUUUUGAAAUAAGUUCCACUGGCUGGGUGUGGUGGCUCACACCUGCAAUCCCAGUACUUUAGGAGGCCGAGACUGGUAGAUCAUUUGAGGUCAGGAGUUCAAGACCAGCCUUGCCAACAUGGUGAAACCCCACCUCUACCAAAUUAGCCAGGUGUGGUGCACACCUGUAGUCCCAGCUACUUGGGAAGCUGAGGCAGGAGAAUCUCUUGAACCAGGGAGGAGGAGGUUGCAGUAAGCCGAGAUGGCGCCCCUGCACUCCAGCCUGGGUGACAGAGUGAGACCUUGCGUUUAAAAAAAAAAAAAAAGGAAAAGGAAAAAAAAGUUCUACUGUGGGUAAAAUGCUAUCAUGCUAUCAAACAGCAUCACAUGCUACAGAGAAGUCUUGUGAAAGGAUGUCAGUGUGGCAAACUUCAUUGUCUUUUAAGAAAUUGCCACAGCUAUCGUAAUCUUCAACCACCACCACCCUGAUGAGUCAGUAGCCAUCGUUAACGUUGGCGUAAGACCCUCCACCAGCAAAAAGAUUGUUAGCAUUUUUUUAGCAGUGAUGUAUUUAUCAAUUAUACAUAAUGCUAUUGUACACUUCUUAAUAGACUAUGGUAUAGUGUAACCAUAAUUUAUGCACUGGGAAACCAACAAAUUCAUGAGAUUCGCUUUAUUGUAGUGCUCUGGAAUUGAGCCUGCCGUGUUUCUGAGGUAUACCUGUGUAUUUAGUAUGUUCCUUGUAUAUAAAACCCCAUUUUAUAGGGUAGGAAACUAAGGCUUAGAGUUUGAGCAAUUUUCCCAUAGAUAACACCAAUAAAUUGAGGGCUGCAGAGACCACUUAAGUGGUUCUCUUAACAGUAGUCUAGACAUGACGUAAUGAGAUUUGGCUUAGGAGUGACAAUGGUAAGGAAGUUAAAGGAUUCAGGAACCAAAUACCAGUUAUUGAGAAGAAAGAAUGGCCUCAAAACAUCACUUCUCAAGGAAGCCUUGAUACCCUCACCCUUACUACACUGUAUCCUCCAUUUGAAUGUUGUCAAGAGCUCUUCUCACAAUUGUAAAUAAUAAUUGUGUAAUUUUGUUUUUUUUUUCCUACUUUAGGUUGCUCCUUGAGGGCAGGACAGUUCUUAUGGCUUUAUCCGUUGCGUAAGCACAGAGAGGUCUGCGAGGUCAAAACUAUUGUCAUGAUAGCAAGAUGCCUGUCUUUUUCAUUUAUUCUCACGGUGUGCAGAGGCUACAUGAUGUGUGAUGACAUCCUCAUUGAUGUUAAUGAAUGGUGCUAUACUUGAAUUUUCUAAGGUGUCAUUAGCAAUUCUCCUGCCUCAGCCUCCUGCAUAACUGGGACUACAGGGAAGCACCAUUUUCCACAAAACUCUCAAGAAGGACUUGUUGCAACUGGAAAAGCAAUUAAAUGUGAAUCGUGAUCCAGGAGAAAGUAACAACUCACAUAACUCCCAAAUUAAAAGUUUUCCAAAGAUAUAUCAUUUUUUUUCUCUUGGCCUUUUAAGAAACUAGCCAACAAAUACUCUUGACAGGUUUGUGUUUGGUUUUGAAAACACACACCUUAGUGUACUGAAAGAAAAACAAUUUCUUUUAAUUUGGUUUGUUGGUCCCACACCCCAUCUAUCAAUGUAUGUGCUAUUUACAAAUAAGUUCUAUACAGUAUUUUUGCAGUACCUUUGAUAAUUCCUAGACCUCUAUUUUCAUUCUGUGUAUUAAUGUGAAUAACAGAUGGAUAUUUUAAUAUUUAAGGCAGAUGGUAAACUUUCCUAUAGGUCUUGUGAGACUUCGUCUUAUAGGCUGAACACCAUUCACAAAAUGUAAUAAUGCUUCAUUCCUUCAGGUUGAGGUAAAGAACUUGAGCAACUGGAUUAGCAAAGCUGCAAAGAAUGAAAUGUGGCCUAAGAUGUAAUUAUGUUCUCUGCCCUUCCUUUGGGCCAGGGUAGUUUUGCACUUGACACAAUGGAAAAUAGGCCAUAAAGCCUGAAAAUAAAAUGUUCUAAACCCCAAUCUCACAGCACUUUAGUAGGCUUUUCACUAGGCAUCUUUAAAGUAUUUUCAACAAAAUACUAAUUAAGCUACCACUUCAAAAGAGCUUCAAGGAAAAGCUCUGCUUUCUUAUAAAAUCUUUUUGAGACAGAGUUUCGCUCUUGUCGCACAGGCUGGAGUGCAAUGGCGUGAUCUCGACUCACCGCAACCUCCGCCUGCUGGGUUCAAGUGAUUCUCUAGCCUCAGCCUCCUGAGUAGUUGGGAUUACAGGCGCCCGCCACCACACCUGGCUAAUUUUUGUAUUUCUAGUAGAGACAGGGUUUCACCAUGUUGGCCAGGCUGGUCUCCGGACCUCAGGUGAUCUGCACACUUCGGCUUCCUAAACUGCUGGAAUUACAGUCGUGAGCCACUGUGCCUGGUCUCAUAAAACUUUUAAAUUCCAUCACAUUACAUUCACACCUUUUGCUAACCAGGAUGAAGAGCCUUAAACAGGUUUAAAGAGUGCAGACUGCAGUUUUGUUAAUACUUUUUUCCUCUCCAAGUUCUUUUAUGCUAACAUUUCCAGUGGUGGGAAGUACAAGUACUAUUAGUCAUCUUCAUUCUUUGCAUUGCCAAAGAGUUCCUCUUUCUCCGUCUUGUUCUGAAGGAUGAACAAAAGCUUGAGGUGUACGUAUCAGAACGUAAACUGCAGCACGAAGACCACCAACGUUCACCCAGACUGUAUCCACCUUUCGCCAUACGUGUCGCAUUCCAGAUAACGCCUGUGUACACACAAAAAAAAUAACAAUUAGGUUGACAAUCUACUUUUACAUCAACUAGGAUUCUUAACUGCCAAGAUAGGAAACCUCAGGGGAAGAGAAAACAAAUCUUAUCCAAACAAACAUCCCCAAAUCUCAAAAAGAUCCCAAAGUUGCCACAGGCUGCGAUUUUGAGCUAAUGUGUAUAGCACCUUGGUAAAGCAUUUUGUGUCUUGAGUAAGUAGUACAGCUCGGCCUGUGGUAGGUGUGCAGACACGGCUCAUCUCCCGUAGGCAAGCUGGAUAAAGGUUCCAGUUUCUCUUCUUGGAUCCCAUCCUAUAAUAGAAGGUCUCAUGAGUCAAACACUUGCAAAAGAUACAAAAUAGAAGGACUAUAUGAAACAAAAACAGUUUCAUGCAUCCUGAGGCAUGAAAAAUAGCUGUAGUUUUAGAAACCAGACCUUUGCCAUUACAUGUCUAUGAAAUAAGUUGAGUUAGUAAACUGCUUAGAAUUCUGAAUCAAAAAAAUUUUUUUUAGACAACUGUGUUAGUUAUAUGACUUGUCCUCUUAGUAUAAUAAGCAGUCAAACUGUAUAAACCAAACAAGUGAUUAGAAAUCAUUUAGGCCAGGUGUUUUGGUGGCUCAUGCCUGUAAUCCCAGCAGUUUGGGAGGCUGAGGCGGGCAGAUCACCUGAAGUCAGGAGUUUGAGACCAGCCUGGCCAAUAUGGUGAAACCCUGUCUUUUAAAAAUACAAAAAUAAGCUGGGCAUGAUGGCAUGUGCCUGAAAUCCGAGCUACUCAGGAGGGUGAGGCAGGAGAAUCGCUUGAACCCGGGAGGCAGAGGUUACAGUGAGCCGAGAUCAUACCACUGCACUCCAGCCUGGGCAACAGAGCAGGGCUCUGUCUCCAAAAAAAAAAAAAGAAUCAUUUAUGCUGAGAAACAGAAUGAGAACCAAGUCUUCUACCACCUUUUUGUGUAGGAUAUAUAAUUCAAGAAUGGGCUAGAAAGUGAAUUACAGGUAAUUUAAAAAUGAACCUCCCAUGAUGGUCAGGAUUCCAAAUGUAGUUAAUACAUUCCUGAGUUCUCGGAAGAAACAUAAUGGGUGAAUCCAUCAUGUUGUUAAGUGAAAAACAGCUCUGCUAAGUCUGCUAAAAUUCAAGAUUUUUUUCCUGACUUAGAAUAAACGCAAGGAAAAUAAUGACAUAUUUAGAAGACAAGCAGGUACUAGUAUUUCUCACCUUUUUCCAAAUGGCAAAUCUGUUACAAUAAUAUCCACAGAGCCAGUUCUCAAUGGCAGAUUGCAGAUAUCCCACUGAACAGCAUCUAUGGGCAAGCCCCAGGAGGGUUUGCUGUGGGGACAAAGGAAAGGUGCUUCAACAUACUGUGAAGCAUAAAGUUAUUACAACAAUUUUUGUUUCUGAAGAGAGACUGCUACAGCAAAACAUAAACUGCUAAGGAUAUCAGUGAUAAUAUCAACCUAUUCAAAAUUUAAGAAAUGGCACAAAGGUAAAAAAUAGGUCAGGCUGGGCAUGGUAGCUUGUGCCUAUAAUCAGCACUUUCAGGGGCUGAGGUGGGAGGAUCACUGGACUCCAGGAAUUUGAGACCAGCUGAGCAACACUGUGAGACCUUGUCUCUAAAAUACUUUUUUAAGAAGUUAGCAGGGCAUGAUGGCACACACCUAUAGUCCCAGCUACUCAGGAGGCUGAGGUGGGAGGAUCACUUGAGUCCAGGAGUUGAAAGAUGCAGUGAGCUAGGAUUGUGCCGCUUUACUCCAGCCUGGGUGACAGAGCAAGACCCCCGUCUCAGAAAAAAGGGAAACAAACUGAAAACAUGAUUGUAAUGCAGAGAACUGCAAAAGACAACUUUAAAAACAAUGCUGAAGCAGUAAAUUACAUAACCGAUGAUACAAAAAUUUAAGUUGCUGAUAAAACAUACACUGGAGAAAAACAAUACUAAAGAAUAGAUAAUGGGGUGAUGUAUCUGAAGAAUAAAGUUUGUAAAACUAGUAAUAACAGGAGGCCUAAAAGAAAAACAGAUAGUAAAAUUGGCAAAUAUAUAGGUAAUUGUUUCAAGAUGAAAAACCAAAAGGAAAAUAUGUGCCAUGCUAUAUAAAACAAGACUAAGAAAAAAGUUAAGAUAAAAAAUAUAGAUGACAGAAGACAGAAUGAAUAAUAAUAAAUACAAAGGAUUUAAAUCCUCCUCAUUAAGGCAAAGCAACUGGUUUAAGAAACAAAAUAAUGCACAGGCUAAGAACUGAAGAUAAGUCAAAGGUUAUCAGCAGAAAUUAAGGAUUUAAUUGACAUUUAAUGAAGAAUUUAAGAAAAAAAUGCAAUAAAAGCAAUCAUUACAUAAUUUUUAAAAGUACACAUAAAAUAUGUAUUAUAACCGCAUACCAAUAACUGCACAAAACAAAAGGCAAAAAAUAUUAAAAACCAAAGUAAAAUGGAUAGAAAUGUACAGGUUGAGGCCGGGCACAGUGGCUCAUGCCUGUAAUCCCAGCACUUUGGGAGGCCAAGGUGGGCAGAUCAUGAGGUCAGGAGAUUGAGACCAUCCUGGCUAACAUGGUGAAAACCCGUCUCUACUAAAAAUACAAAAAAAAAAUAAGCCGGGCAUGGUGGCGGGUGCCUGUAGUCCCAGCUACUUGGGAGGCUGAGGCAGGAGAAUGGCGUGAACCCGGGAGGCGGAGCUUGCAGUGAGCCGAGAUCAAGCCACUGCACUCCAGCCUGGGCGACAGAGUGAGACUCCGUCUCAAAAAAAAAAAAAAAAAAAAAAAAAAAAAAAAAAAAAAAAAGUACGGGUUGAACAGACAGUGUAGGUACAAACAAGAUAAAAUAUUCAGAAGCUAGAAAGGUACGUUUGUUUAAAUGUUUAUCAGUUUUAAUUAAAAAAAAAAAAGACUGGCCAUAUACUAGGCUCAUUAAAAAAAACCCUCAAUAAAUAUGAAACAACCAUUCAAAAUUAAUUCAUCACAAUAAAUCAGUAUUUAAGAAAAUUGAAGCCUUCCAACUACUUGUCUUAAUACACGUAAAAGGAUUUAAUGUUGAUACAUAGACCAGCAGCAUCAGCAUUGUCCUGGAGUUUCCUGGAAAAUGCAGACUCUUAGGUCCCAUCCCAAACUACUAAAUCAGAUCUGUGUUAACAGUACUCCUAGGUGAUUCACAUGUACAUUAAUGUUUGAGAAGCACUGUCCUAAAAAAUUAGAUCAGAGAGACAAUGAAAUAUAUAACCAAUGACUUAGUAAUAAAAUAGAGGCGAGGCUAUAUAAACUGCAGUAUUUCUAUACGAUGGAAUUUAUGUAGUGACUUUAAAGACUAUGGUCCAGGUGUGGUGACUCGUCUCUAAUCCCAGCAAUUUGGAAGGCUGAAGCGGCAGAAUCUCUUGAGGCCAGGAGUUUGACACCAGCCUGGACAAAACAGCAAGACCCCCAUCUCUACGAAGAUUUUAAAAAAUUAGCUGGGCAUGGUGGCACAUGCCUGUAUUCCUAGCUACUAGGGAGGCCAAGGCAGGAGGAUUGCUUGAGCUCAGUAGGUUGAGGCUACAGUGAGCCAUGAUCAUGUCACUGCACUCCAGCCUGGGUGACAAAAUGAGACCCUGUACCCAAAGCAAAAAAGAAGCCUAUGUAAAAAUAUACUGUUUAAAAUUUUGUGAAAUUAAAAUGAGUCUAUAAAAUAUUCUUCCAAUAUGUAGGGGAAAAGACAUAUGAAUAAGACAAAUGAAAAAUUGCAUAUGGUGGGGAAAUUAUCGCUAAAAUAAUAUUUUAAAAAUAUAACUUAUUUUCAAUAAACUUUAAAAAUGUAAAUGGAGUCUCAUAGUAUAUUCAUUUUGGUUACAAUGACGUCACAAUGCACUGGGAGUUUUAAUUCAUAAAGUCAAUAUAAAAAGUGAUUCUCUAACUCUAAAAGAUGCUAAGAAAUCUUUUAAAUUUUUACCCUUCUUUAAUUUGGCUCUUGGUCAAUAAAGAUGCAAUGUUAUUUGCUGCUCUAUUCACAGCCAGUGGAUUAUUAUCACCAGCAAUAUGGAAACAGUCAGACCAUUCAGUGGCCCCCUAAAAGAUAAGAGUGUAUGUUAAAACAAAAGUAGCAAACUGUAAAAUAUGAUUAAAUUGUCAACAAACAAAGAAAAUCCAGUGCUUUUCUAGAGUGGCAAAACAUUGCAUGUUGUCAACUGUGCUAUUUCCCUGGCUGAAAAUGCCCUCUUAUUCUUUCUCUGCUUGCUGAACCUCUACCCAUCUCUUAAGACCCAGCUCAAACCUCAUGCCCUUUCAACAUCAACCUUAACUCUCCAAGCAGUCUUAUGUGCCCCUCCCAAAAACACUUUGUAUGUACGUACCUCUGCCACUGCACUUGUCCCACGGUUAAUUAUUUCUUCCCCUUUAUGCCUCUCAACUAACCUGGGAGCUCUCUGAGGUCAGGUCUAGUAUUUUAUUCAGUUCCUCAUCCAGCAGUGUCUGGCACACUAAAUUCUAAGUUAAUGCGGUUUGAAAAUAUUUGAGAUUUGUGGUUGUGGGAGUUUACAUAAUCUGAUAUAUUUGAAAAUUGCAAAAUAAAAUGCUAUUUCCGGCCGGGCAUGGUGGCUCACACCUGAAAUCCCAGCACUUUGGGAAGCUGAGGCAGGAGGAUUUCUUGAGCCCAGGAGUUUGAGACCAGCCUGGGAACAUGGUGAAAGCCCAUCUCUACAAAAACACAAAAAUCAGCUGGGUGUGAUGGUGUGCACCUGAGUCUCAGCUACUCGAGAGGCUGAGGUGGGAGAAUGGCUUAAGACAGGGAGGCAGAGGUUGCAGGGAGCUGAGAUUACACCACUGCACUCCAGCCUGGCUGACAGAGCAAGACCCCAGGUCAAAAAAAUAAUAGUAAAAUGCAAUUUCCUUUGUAUGAUAGGCUUUUGAAUGGUAACCACCAUAUCACUGGAAGGAUUUUGUAAUUAUAAAUAAAAAACCUGUCAGCAGAACAUAAAUACCAAGCUGUCACAUGUCAUUUGUGGAAUGAGGUGACGUGACCCUAGGCCUGAACAAUGUUCUAUGCAGAUUAACAGAAGGUUUCUGACACGAAAGCCGGGAAAGGUCUGCCUCUGCUUAGGGGUGAGUAGCAAACACCUUUGUGUUCCUUUGUGAACAGUAACAUACUUCUCAUCCAUGAGUGCAGUGUUUCAUAACUUUUUCUUUUGCCCAGACACUUGAGGGUGAUAACAUACCCUGUCUACAAUCCUACGAUGACAUCAAACAAAAGGGAAGUUGAAGUAUCCCAGAAUUUUGGGUGGGUGGGGAUGUAGAGGGGACCUAGAGUUUGAGGAAGGCUCUCAGUGAUUCCGAUUCCCAAAUAUUCUUUUUUUUUUUUCCUAAACCUAUUUGGAUUUUCAGCAUUGGAAAGAAUUGGGUUUUAUAGCAUAACACUUCUAAAUUAAAAAAAAAAAUUAUUCUAGAUCAAGUA